rnacentral:rRNA from 1 species
UACGGAGGGUGCAAGCGUUAUCCGGAAUGAUUGGGCGUAAAGCGUCCGCAGGUGGCUGUGUAAGUCUGCUGUUAAAGAGUCUAGCUCAACUAGAUAAAAGCAGUGGAAACUACACGGCUAGAGUACGUUCGGGGCAGAGGGAAUUCCUGGUGUAGCGGUGAAAUGCGUAGAGAUCAGGAAGAACACCAGUGGCGAAGGCGCUCUGCUAGGCCGUAACUGACACUGAGGGACGAAAGCUAGGGGAGCGAAUGGG